ensembl:lncRNA
CGCUAUACAAAUAAAACUGAAUUUAACUGUCCAAUUAUUUUUGAGCCUGUGAAAAUGGACGGACUUUGGAAUAAAUGGCUGUAAUUCCUAAACAGUUCAUGCAAUAUUUUUGUUAAACCCCUUGAAUUAAAGCUGAGAGUCAAAUCACAUCCGGAUUAUUUCAUUUUAAAUUCAGUGUGGUGGUUUACAGAGGUAACAUUACUGUCUCGCUGUCCAAAUACUUAUGGACCAGACUGUAUGUUGAAACACGCUAAUUAGCUGUAACGCUAAUGUAACGUUCUGUGGUUUUAUUAAACGUAGUGUUUGAUUUGCUGUGAUUUUAGAUUCUAGAUUUAAUUUCUGUUUUGUUAUGUGAAAGGAGGAAUAAAUUGAAUGUCCUGUUCAUUCAUAUCUGUUUAAUAAUUUAUAUCUGUCUAAUAACGUUAUAUUUAAUGUUGGAAAUGUGUUUAAUUUCUUUUACGAUAUUGUUUCCUUAUGAUUAUACAUAAUGCUGGAUUAGCGCUAGCAUAGCGGACAACAUCUAAAAUAUGUAUUUAUAAGUAUUUUUAGGAAUAAAUAACUUAUUAAUAGACCUAAAUAAAAUAAUCAGUAGGUCACUGAAACUCAAACUGGAUGAUUUUAACAGAUCAUAAAAUGUUUCAUGUUAGUUUCACACUUCAACUGCAGCUUUAAAUAAUUAUUCAUGAAAAUAUAUAUAUGUAAAUAAAGAGAGAGUAUUGUCACAUUGGGGUCAAUAUGUAAUCUAUUAACACACAACUUCCCCUUGGCGGCGUCCCAUUGGCAGCGUCCCCUUGGCGGAAUCCCCUUGGCCUCCAUUUUAAGGGCCGUUCUGUUAUUUUUCUCUCGAGUAAAGUUUGUUACAAAAUUUUACCCAGCAUGCAUUUCUGUACAGUUUCUGUUCCUAAGUAAAAGCCAAAACUCUUCAUAAGUGUGAAUUUGUUUUUUGUUUUUUUUGUUUUGUUUUUUUUUAAUUAGAUUUAACAUAAAUUGUAUUUUAGAAUCUGUGUGAGGUUUAUUAAGUUAAACACCUGAUUUUUGUUCACAUGUUUACGGGCACUGAGGUACACAUGUGCUUAUAACUGCAGAAUAAAUGUAGAGUUUAAAUUAAAUUAAAGUUUUAUUCAAGGCUGUAAAUUCUGAAGUAAACGCACAUUGUCCAUGUUUGUCUUUGGG